AACGCUGGCGGCAUGCCUUACACAUGCAAGUCGAACGGCAGCACGGGAGCUUGCUCCGUGGUGGCGAGUGGCGAACGGGUGAGUAAUAUAUCGGAACGUACCCUAGAGGUGGGGGAUAACGCAGCGAAAGUUGCGCUAAUACCGCAUACGAUCUACGGAUGAAAGUGGGGGAUCGCAAGACCUCAUGCUCAUGGAGCGGCCGACAUCUGAUUAGCUAGUUGGUGGGGUAAUGGCCUACCAAGGCGACGAUCAGUAGCUGGUCUGAGAGGACGACCAGCCACACUGGAACUGAGACACGGUCCAGACUCCUACGGGAGGCAGCAGUGGGGAAUUUUGGACAAUGGGCGCAAGCCUGAUCCAGCCAUUCCGCGUGAGUGAAGAAGGCCUUCGGGUUGUAAAGCUCUUUCGCAAGGGAAGAAAACUUACACAAUAACACUGUGUGAGGCUGACGGUACCUUGAUAAGAAGCACCGGCUAACUACGUG
rnacentral:rRNA from 1 species